rnacentral:rRNA from 1 species
GACGAACGCUGGCGGCGUGCUUAACACAUGCAAGUCGAACGAAGAGCGAUGGAAGCUUGCUUCUAUCAAUCUUAGUGGCGAACGGGUGUGUAACGCGUAAUCAACCUGCCCUUCAGAGGGGGACAACAGUUGGAAACGACUGCUAAUACCGCAUACGAUCCAAUCUCGGCAUCGGGACUGGAUGAAAGGUGGCCUCUAUUUAUAAGCUAUCACUGAAGGAGGGGAUUGCGUCUGAUUAGCUAGGUGGAGGGGUAACGGCCCACCAAGGCGAUGAUCAGUAGCCGGUCUGAGAGGAGGAACGGCCACAUUGGGACUGAGACACGGCCCAGACUCCUACGGGAGGCAGCAGUGGGGAAUCUUCCGCAAUGGACGAAAGUCUGACGGAGCAACGCCGCGUGAGUGAUGACGGCCUUCGGGUUGUAAAGCUCUGUUAAUCGGGACGAAUGGUUCUUGUGCGAAUAGUGCGAGGAUUUGACGGUACCGGAAUAGAAAGCCACGGCUAACUACGUG